CUUUUAUGGAGAGUUUGAUCCUGGCUCAGGACGAACGCUGGCGGCGUGCCUAAUACAUGCAAGUCGAGCGGACCUUACCCUUCGGGGUAAGGUUAGCGGCGGACGGGUGAGUAACACGUAGGUAACCUGCCUGUAAGACCGGGAUAACAUUCGGAAACGAAUGCUAAU
rnacentral:rRNA from 1 species